UACGGAGGGGGCUAGCGUUGUUCGGAAUUACUGGGCGUAAAGCGCACGUAGGCGGCUUUGUAAGUUAGAGGUGAAAGCCCGGGGCUCAACUCCGGAAUUGCCUUUAAGACUGCAUCGCUAGAAUUGUGGAGAGGUAAGUGGAAUUCCGAGUGUAGAGGUGAAAUUCGUAGAUAUUCGCAAGAACACCAGUGGCGAAGGCGGCUUACUGGUCCGGUUCUGACGCUGAGGCGCGAAAGCG
rnacentral:rRNA from 1 species